GCGCUGUUAGUGCAGAAGUUAGCAUACUUGCCUCAUAAGCAAGAGACGCGGGUGCGAAUCCCGCACAGCGUA